GAUGAACGCUGGCGGCGUGCCUAAUACAUGCAAGUCGAGCGAACAGAUGAGGAGCUUGCUCCUCUGACGUUAGCGGCGGACGGGUGAGUAACACGUGGAUAACCUACCUAUAAGACUGGGAUAACUUCGGGAAACCGGAGCUAAUACCGGAUAAUAUAUUGAACCGCAUGGUUCAAUAGUGAAAGACGGUUUUGCUGUCACUUAUAGAUGGAUCCGCGCCGCAUUAGCUAGUUGGUAAGGUAACGGCUUACCAAGGCAACGAUGCGUAGCCGACCUGAGAGGGUGAUCGGCCACACUGGAACUGAGACACGGUCCAGACUCCUACGGGAGGCAGCAGUAGGGAAUCUUCCGCAAUGGGCGAAAGCCUGACGGAGCAACGCCGCGUGAGUGAUGAAGGUUUUCGGAUCGUAAAACUCUGUUAUUAGGGAAGAACAAAUGUGUAAGUAACUAUGCACGUCUUGACGGUACCUAAUCAGAAAGCCACGGCUAACUACGUG
rnacentral:rRNA from 1 species